CCGGGGCGCCGUCCGCUCCGAGGACGUGGUGCUGCCACGUGGCAUGCGGGCAACCGGGUGCCACGUGGCAUGCGAAGGCGACGGGCAAUGCGCCAGGCGGGAGACCGAGCAGCGAACACCGUCCGCCAUGGCCGGCGGAGGGACCGCGGC
rnacentral:SRP_RNA from 14 species